rnacentral:rRNA from 1 species
AGUGAACGCUGGCGGUAGGCCUAACACGUGCAAGUCGAACGGCAGCACAGUAAGAGCUUGCUCUUACGGGUGGCGAGUGGCGGACGGGUGAGGAAUACAUCGGAAUCUACUUUUUCGUGGGGGAUAACGUAGGGAAACUUACGCUAAUACCGCAUACGACCUACGGGUGAAAGCAGGGGAUCUUCGGACCUUGCGCGAUUGAAUGAGCCGAUGUCGGAUUAGCUAGUUGGCGGGGUAAAGGCCCACCAAGGCGACGAUCCGUAGCUGGUCUGAGAGGAUGAUCAGCCACACUGGAACUGAGACACGGUGCAGACUCCUACGGGAGGCAGCAGUGGGGAAUAUUGGACAAUGGGCGCAAGCCUGAUCCAGCCAUACCGCGUGGGUGAAGAAGGCCUUCGGGUUGUAAAGCCCUUUUGUUGGGAAAGAAAAGCAGCAGGUUAAUACCCCGCUGUUCUGACGGUACCCAAAGAAUAAGCAACGGCUAACUUCGUG